GACGAACGCUGGCGGCGUGCCUAAUACAUGCAAGUCGAGCGGACGGACGCGAAGCUUGCUUCUCUGAUGUUAGCGGCGGACGUGAGAGUAACGUGUGGAUCACCUACCUAUAAGACUGGGAUAACUUCGGGAAACCGGAGCUAAUACCGGAUAAUAUUUUGAACCACAUGGUUGAAAAGUGAGAUACGGUCUUGCUGGCACUUAUAGAUGGAUUCGCGCUGCAUUAGCUGGUUGGUAAGGUAACGGCUUACCACGGCAACGAUGCAUAGCCGACGUGUGAGGGGGGUCGCCGACCUGGGAACGGAACCACCCACCUUGGGCCUACGGUAGGGCGCAGAAUGGUACGGUCCGCAACGGGCGAAAGCCUGACGGAGUGACGGCACGUGAGUGAUGAAGGUCUUCGGAUCGGAAUACUCGCUUAUGAGUGAAAAACAGAUUUGUAAGGAACUGAGCACUUCGUGACGGUACCUAAUCAGAAAGCCACGGCUAACUACGUG
rnacentral:rRNA from 1 species